rnacentral:rRNA from 1 species
AGCUCCAAUAGCGUAUAUUAAAGUUGUUGUGGUUAAAAAGCUCGUAGUUGGAUCUCAACAGCCUUGAAGCGGUUAACUUUGUAGUUUUACUGCUUUAUAGGCUGUGCUUUUGCUGGAGGUUUAGGGGUGCUCUUGAUCGAGUGUCUCUGGAUGCCAGCAGGUUUACUUUGAAAAAAUUAGAGUGCUCAAAGCAGGCUAAAAUGCCUGAAUAUUCGUGCAUGGAAUAAUAGAAUAGGAUGUCGAUCCUAUUUUGUUGGUUUUCGGGACUCGACAUAAUGAUAAAUAGGGACAGUCGGGGGCAUUUGUAUUCAAACGACAGAGGUGAAAUUCUUGGACCGUUUGAAGACAAACUACUGCGAAAGCAUUUGCCAAGAAUGUUU